UACAGAGGGUGCAAGCGUUGUUCGGAAUUAUUGGGCGUAAAGGGCGCGUAGGCGGUUCGGCAAGUCUCUAGUGAAAUCUCUGGGCUCAACUCAGAGUCUGCUGGGGAAACUGCCGGGCUUGAGUGUGGGAGAGGAGAGUGGAAUUCCCGGUGUAGCGGUGAAAUGCGUAGAUAUCGAGAGGAACACCUGCGGCGAAGGCGGGUAGCUGGGCCGACACUGACGCUGAGGCGCGAAAGCCAGGGGAGCGAACGGG
rnacentral:rRNA from 1 species